UUAGUUUAUUUAACUAGUUUUCAGAUUUGACAUGGUUAAAAGAAUUUGAUUGUGGGCUAUUGACGAGCACUGACCAAAGGUUAAAAAACCUUCGGCGGUCCGGUUAAAGACGGGCCCGCCAAAGCAACAUGGUAUUUAUACAAAGGGUUGGAGAUCGGGCCUAGAAGACCCUAACUCAUUAAUGAUCCUUCCGCAGGUUCACCUACGGAAA
rnacentral:misc_RNA from 1 species